rnacentral:rRNA from 1 species
UACAGGGGGGGCAAGCGUUGUUCGGAAUUACUGGGCGUAAAGGGCCAGUAGGCGGCCAACUAAGUCCGACGUGAAAUCCCCAGGCUUAACCUGGGAACUGCGUCGGAUACUGGAUGGCUUGAAUUCGGGAGAGGGAUGCAGAAUUCCAGGUGUAGCGGUGAAAUGCGUAGAUAUCUGGAGGAAUACCGGUGGCGAAGGCGGUCUCCUGGGGCAUUCUUGACGCUGAGACGCGAAAGCGUGGGGAGCGAACAGG